GUUCCCUAAAUAGGGACUUGUAUGAAGGGCCACACGAGGGCUUUACUGUCUCUUACUUCCGAUCCGUGAAAUUGACCUUCCCGUGAAGAGGCGGGAAUAUGACAAUAAGACGAGAAGACCCUAUGGAGCUUUAAUUAACCGACCCAAAGAGAUCUUAACAACUAACCGAUAGGGACAACAAACCUCUACCAUGGGUCGACAAUUUAGGUUGGGGUGACCUCGGAGAAUAAAACAACCUCCGAGUGAUUUAAAUCUAGACUAACCAGUCGAAAGUACUACAUCACUUAUUGAUCCAAAAACUUGAUCAACGGAACAAGUUACCCUAGGGAUAACAGCGCAAUCCUAUUUUAGAGUCCAUAUCGACAAUAGGGUUUACGACCUCGAUGUUGGAUCAGGACAUCCCGAUGGUGCAGCAGCUAUCAAAGGUUCGUUUGUUCAACGAUUAAAGUCCUACGUGAUCUGAGUUCAGACC
rnacentral:rRNA from 1 species